GUUGUCUGCAGGAGCAACACGUGUCACUGCUGGAGGAGGGAGGACCACAGCAUGGGCAAUUCAAGCGUGCUAAGGAGAAGCAUUUUGUCUUGCCUGUUUCAUUCUUUGUUGCCCUUGCUGAGUCAUUUCCGGCAGCUGUGCUCUCUCAGGGCUCUUGGUGGGGCCGUGUGGCUUUUUUGAGUCUCUCUCACACAUGCAGGAGGAUUGGUCUCAGCAUGCACCUCGGGUAUCUCAUCCUCGCUGCUUUCCUGAGGCAACCACUAGGCACCAUGGGGCAGACCACCGUCACCCAGCAAGAAGGACAAGUCACAGUCAAGGAGAGAGGCACCUUCCAAACAACCUGCACGUACCAGACUUCUGGCUUUAAUAGAUUGCUCUGGUACCAGCAGAGGAAAGGCCAAGGUCCACAGCUUAUCUCAUAUCAGGCAGCAGCUGGCCCCAGGCGGAAGUGGGCCGUCUCACCACGUUGCUGAACACACCGGGGAAGAACAGCCUUCUCCGGCUGGAGGAGAAGUCCGAGGUCUCUGACGCUGCCGUUGUACCCUCUGUGCUGUGCAGGACACCCUGGUGCAGGAAGCUUCCUUGGCUGUGCAACAAGCCAGGGGAGAGAGGGCAUUGGUAUUCCUGCAAACCUGUUCCUUAGAGUACCUGCUGCCGGAUGUGUCCCUCAGAGGUCAGAGUUGA